ensembl:lncRNA
CUCAUCUUUCCCCAGUAGCAUGUGGUAACCUAUUCCCCAAGUAUGUCUUGGGGACCUUGUCCCACCAAAUCUGAAAAUCUUCAGUAAAGCAAAUUUCACAGUUUUUCAAGGUGAUCUGCUGUAGAACUUAACCACUCUCGUGUUGAAGGGGAAUUUUUUAUAAAUAGCACAAAUUCUCAUUUCUGCAACUGCAGUUGUUGCCUCCUGUUCUUUCAUUGUGCACCCACAUGAAGAAUCUGUAGUCUGUAACUCUCCAAGAGAUAACUGAGAACUGAAGUUAGAAACCAUCCCUGUCUUCUCAAGGCUAAAAAAAUCCAGUUUAUUCAGCUUCUCUUUGUAUGCCACUCUGUCCCCUUUACUGUCUUCACUGUGCUCUUUUCAGUCUUGUCAGCAUCUCUCUUCAAUUGAUAAGAUGCUCUUUAAAAAGUACCAAGUACAAUGCCAUACACAGCUGGAAUGACAAGGCCACAAAUGUUGGAAAGUAAUUGAAAUGCUUCAUGAAAAGAAUACAUCAUCCCUCCUAUAGCAAAAACAUGCAUAGACUUUGCUUACCAUUUUUUCUUAAUGCAGUACUUUCUCAGAUAUGAGCAAUUCUGAAUGAAGGUAUUUAUUAUAUAAAAUUAGUUUUUACAUUUUAUAUGAAAAGAUACAAGUGUUUACUUGGUAUCCUGCACUUUCUUCCCUUUCAGUUUUGUACAUCUGACAUUCACACAACUACAGAUGUUAGAAUUUCAUUGGCAAUCUCUUGAUAGAAAUGUAGGUCAGGAAGACUGAAUAUAUCCUUCAAUACUUGGGAAAGAGCAAAUUUCAACAUGGUGCAGCAGUAGGUGUUGUUCUUGUGUGAGGAUUGGUAUUCAUGGCAUCUGUAUUCAGUGUACUUCACAGAUUCACAGAAUUAUAGAGGUUGGAAGGGACUUCUCGAGGUCAUCGAGUCCAACCUCUCUGCUAAAGAAGAUUCCUGACAGAAUAUUGCACAGGAAGGCAUCCAGAUGGGCUAUAAAUAUCCCCUGAUGAGGGUACUCCACAAACUCUAUGGGCAGUUUGUUCCAGUGCUCUGUCACUCACAGCAAAGUUCUUCCCUGUGUUUGUAUGAACUUUCUGUGUUCCAGUUUCUGCCCUUGUUCUAUUGCUCCCAUUGACUUAACUCCCACACUUCAGAUAUUCAUAAAAGUUAUAAUAUCCCCUGUCAGCCUUCUCCAUACUGAGAAGUCCCAGGUUUCAUAGACUUUUCUCAUAGGGGAGAUGCUCUAGGACCUUAAUCAUCACUAUGGCUUUUUGCUGGACUCUCUAGAAGCCCCUGUCUUUUUUGAACUGAGCCCAGAACUUGACAUGAUACUCCAGAUGUGGCCUCACCAGGGCAAAGGAUUACCCCCUUGACCUGCUGACCACACUCUUCUAGGUGCACCCCAGGGUACAAUAGACCUUCUUGGGUGCAAAGGCACACUGCCGGCUCAUGGACAACCUGUUGCCCACCAGGACAUCAAGGUUCUUCUGCUCACAAAUGAUUUCCAGCAGGUCAUUCCUUAACUUUUUCUGAUGUGUGUAGUUAUUCCUCCCCAGGUGCAAGAACCAAUGUUUGCCCUUGUUGAACCUCAUACUUGGGUGAUUUGGCCAAAUAACCUUAUACCUAUAACUAUAGUUAGAACUUAUAGUGUAUUCUUGCCUCCACAAAUGUUCAAUUAAUACUCUCUGCUCUUAUUCAGUAUAGAGAAGGGUGUAGUUUCUUCAGCUCAUGCAGACUAUCAUCAAUUCUCAUAUCUAUUUUUUUUUUUUUUUGGAGGGCUUGGAGAACACUCAAAAGAUUUGUAGCUCUGCUACACUUCCUCAAAUCAGCCUUUAAAAAAAUCUUUACAGCAACAGAUGAGAAAUUUACAAGAGAUGAAUGUACUUGAAUAGUGAUAGUAACAAUGCAUGUCUACAGUGGUGUGUUUAGGCUUGUACUUUAUAAGCGUGCCUUUCUCAAACUUAACUGCCCAUAGAGUGGCAGUGUUUAAAUCCAGAGGGUGGCAAUGUAAGAACACAAAUAAGUAGACGGCCAGCUAGGGGAGCUUCCCCAGCACAGCCACAACCUUUUCUUUAUUUACUACCAUCACACUCAGGUUUCUGUGAACACCAUUCAAAACAAGACAGGGUGGUCCUGAAAAAACAUGUGGGACUGUCUCAUACACACAAAACGUUCCAGACAGAGACAAAUACACUCUGCUUAUUUGCUGUUCAGUCAUGCUCAUCCCAGGCUGUACUUCUUCCAGGUCUGCCAGAGGAAAUAGAGCAGGCAGUCUCAUGAUGUGUGCUGGGGCUCCUCUGAUGUGCUUCUCCAGAGCUUCUGUAUCCCACAUAGCCUGCUGGGUCUGCACUGCUAGCAACUUGAAGCAUCUAUACCAAAUUGCAGGAUUUGAAAGAAUCACUGGAUGGCUGAGGUUGACAGGGACCUCUGGGUCCAUCUGUCCAACCCUUGCUCAAACAGGGACACCCAGAGGAAGGAGCAGAGGC